AGCGGAUAACAGUCUUGAGUACCUGCUGGUCUUUGAAGCUGUGGAUUCUGGGACUGUUGGAAAAGCUCCAACAAAAUGAGGAAGAGGAGCGGGAGAAACACACUUAGAUUGAAUUACAAUUGGAUGGAAGUCGAGGACAAGGAGAAGGAAGCUUAGGAUGAGGAGGAAGAAAAGCAGCAGGAGCAUCUUUAGGGAUCUCUAUGAUGUCAUUGAGAGGCGGCGGCGAGAGGGGAGACCUCGGCUCAUCCAGCUGGAGAGCCUGACCAGGAGGAGUCUACAUUAACUCGGCUCUUCCAGGGCACCCUGCAGACUCGGCUGCUGGCAACAGCGAGGGAUGAUGUGAACGCCAAACUGGAGUCCAUCACAGGUCGACUGCAGCUCCUUGUCUCAGAGAUGGAGGGAUUUGAAGCACAAAGGGAGCAGCUUGUCGUUUGGUUGGCUGAUAUGGAUGCCCGCCUGAGUGAGGUUGACCAGCUGACAGGAAACACCUGUGAAAAACUGAAACAACUGCAGGUGUGGCGUUGUUUUGAUAUGACAUAUAUUUGAUAUGAUACAUACGUCAGAGACAUUAUCCUAAACUGGACUAACAAAGAACCAGGAGUCCAACAUGAAACUUACCUUACAUAAGGUAAGGCUGAAGUUCAUUGAUAAUUUUGAUCAAAAACUUGUUGUUGAAAUAUUUUUACUGAACAUGCAAACAUCUGCUGAUGACAAUGUGUUGAUUUAUUGGUCUGUUA